CCUACGGGUGGCAGCAGUCGGGAAUAUUGCGCAAUGGAGGAAACUCUGACGCAGUGACGCCGCGUGCGGGAAGAAGGUCUUCGGAUCGUAAACUGCUGUCGACAGGGAAGAAACAAGACAGUACCUGUAAAAUAAGCUCCGGCUAACUACGCGCCAGCAGCAGCGGUAAUACGUGGGGAGCAAGCGUUAUCCGGAUUUAUUGGGUGUAAAGGGUGCGUAGACGGGAAGUCAAGUUGGUUGUGAAAUCCCUCGGCUUAACGGAGGAACUGCAACCAAAACUAACUUUCUGGAGUGCUGGAGAGGAGAGUGGAAUUCCUAGUGUAGCGGUGAAAUGCGUAGAUAUUAGGAGGAACACCAGUGGCGAAGGCGACUUUCUGGACAGUAACUGACGUUGAGGCGCGAAAGUGUGGGGAGCAAACAGGAUUAGAUACCCCGGUAGUC
rnacentral:rRNA from 1 species